rnacentral:rRNA from 1 species
AACGUAGGAGACAAACGUUAUCCGGAGUUACUGGGCGUAAAGGGCGUGUAGGUGGUUUUAUAAGUCUGGCGUGAAAUUUCUCGGCUUAACCGAGGCAGGUCGUCGGAUACUAUGAGACUAGAGGACGGUAGAGGCGUGUGGAAUUCCGGGUGUAGUGGUGAAAUGCGUAGAGAUCCGGAGGAACACCAGUGGCGAAGGCGGCUACCUGGACAAUUGCUGACGCUCAGGCACGAAAGCGUGGGGAGCAAAAGGGAUUGAGAA